GUUUGUGGUGGGUGGAGGUGUUGAUGGUAGCAAUACGUGUAGGCUUGAAUCUCUGAAAAAUCUUCAACUCCUUCGAGAAUGUGGAAUAGAAGGGCUGGGUAAUGUAUCCCAUUUAGAUGAGGCCGAGAGAUUAGGACUUCACAAUAUGGAAAACCUCCUUCGUUUGCGUCUUGUGUUUGAUGGAGUCGUAGAUCUUGUGUUUGAUGGAGUCGUAGAUGGGGAAGAUGAAGAAAGGAGGAGGAGGAAUGAGAAAGACAAACAACUUCUUGAAGCUUUACAACCGCCUUUGAGUGUAGAGAAAUUAUGGAUUGUAUCCUACGGAGGCAACAUUCUUCCCAAAUGGUUGACUUUGCUAACCAAUCUAAGGGAUUUAAGCCUUUCCUCGUGCGUUAACUGUGAGCAUUUGCCUCCUUUGGGAAAAUUGCCUCUGGAAAAACUCACAAUUAACAACUUGAAAAGUGUAAAAAGAGUGGGUAAUGAGUUUUUGGGAAUAGAAGAAAGCAGUGAGGACGACCCAUCUUCAUCUUCAUCGUCAUCAUCAGUUAUUGCCUUCCCCAAAUUGAAAUCUCUCAAUAUUGAGGAAUUUGAUGAAGUGGAAGAGUGGAAUUACAGGAUUACGAGGACGGAAAACAUCUCCAUCAUGCCACGUCUUUCUUCCUUGACGAUUUCUUCUUGCAACAAAUUAAAGGCGCUGCCGGAUUACAUUCUUCAAACGACGGCACUGCAGGAACUGAGUAUAUAUUUUUGUGAUCUUCUAGAAGAACUGCCCAUUCUAGAAGAUCACAGGACAACAGCCAUACCACGUCUUUCUUCCUUGGAAAUUAGUUGUUGCCCCAAAUUAAAGGUGCUGCCGGAUUACCUUCUUCGGACGACGACGCUGCAGAAAUUGACAAUUUGGGGAUGUCCCCUUUUGGAAAACCGUUAUAGAGAGGGGAAAGGAGAAGACUGGCAUAAGAUAUCUCACAUUCCCCACAUCAAGUGGUCGCUGUUGCCGCCGGUAAUUUCUCCUCCUCCUCUGAUUUACUUCGUUGUUGCUUGCAAUGAAAUUAAUAAAAAUAAUUAUAUUUUGACUUAAAAUUUUAUAUAAAAUCAAUCAUGGUAUAAAUAUGAAAAACUUCCUAGUUAUCAAAUCUGUUAAACUUGUUUUCUAAAGAUUAAAUAAUAAAAAAAUACAAGUGUAGUCUGUUGAAAUUUCUAUAUUUAUUUACUUUUAAAAAAUAUGUGCUCUUUUGUAAAAGUUCAUACAAUAUCAUAGAAAUGUUAUGUGUAACUUCCUGAGAGACAAAAUCUCUGUGAUACAUUUGCAGUAAUGUUGAAAACUAAAUGUCAUUAGCCCACCUUGUUUUAUUUCAUACGAGUUUAAUUAUGUUCACCAGGGAUUCGAGGAAAUGUCAGAACUACACUAGCAAUUCGCAGGUCCACGCUAAUUUGGUUCUAAUGAUGCACGCAGGAGAGCAAGACUAUGAAAAUGAAAAGUUUAGCCAAAGGAUUGCUAAAAUGUUCUGCUGGUAAUUCACUUGCUUUAUUUUAUAGAAUUCAUUUCCAUCUUCUUCUAUUGAUAUCUUGUUGUGAAUAACAAGAACAGAGAAGUAAAGAUAUAUCAAAAUUUACUAUUGCGAUGAUGCUAAAGCAAGCUCAAGCUCAAGCAUUGCAUUUUUAUUUUAUUUAAUUUAUAGAAUUUUCAUUUCCACCUGCAUUGCAUUUUUAUUUAUUUUUAGGUUGACUUUGAAUACUUCAUGGUGAACAUUGGGGUGACCAAGGAUUAGGCUGGCAGUGGAACGACUACCACUGUGGUUAUUGUGCGACUUUGAAGAAGAAAGUGAUGGCUGGGUCUGCUCUGUUUCUAUCUUUUUUCAUUCUUUGAUCGGUUUAUCCUACAUAAACAUAUGGAAUUAUGCUAAUAUUAUCAAUUUUUUCACCCAAUUUUCAUUGUUGGUUGUGAUAAAAAUUUCAGGCUCUCAAAAGCUACAAAGCAAAGCAUUUGUGGGCUGAUCAUAUGUUUCAAUUGAGGAAGGAGUUUGGUGUUGGCAAUAUUGUCCAGGUAACCACAGCUGAUAAUUUCCACAAAUUUGCAUUGUCAGAACACACUUUAAUGUUCAUUGUGUUCCUAUGUGUUAUCAGGUUAUUGUGGUAUGUAAAGUAUCAUCUUUAAGGAUUUGUAAGAGACUUCGCAGUAAACUUAGUUGGCACCAGCUCGUGCAAUUCCUCAUUCAUUCAAGAGUACUUCAAAAUUAGAUUUUCAAGGUUUGUAUGUUUAGUUGCGAGCAAAAUGUUUAGUCACACAUUCGUAAUCUUUUCUGAUUUUCAAGUUCUUUAGGGCCAUAAACAGUUUUCCAACUCAUUCUUAAUUUUUAGGUUGAUUUCGAGUACCCUGUUGAGGACAUUCUUGAGACCAAGGAUUAGGCUGGCGAACAAACUACUACCUCUGUUGUUAUAGUGCAGGGUUUGAUCAUUGGACCUUGAAUAAGAAUGCCUUACACACACUCUGUAAUUCAAGCAUUCUCUAAGGAAAAGAGCAGUCGAAGGGAUAGUGAUGGCCGGAUCUGCUCUAUUUUAGUUGAAGAUCUCUGUGAUGUCGAUGAACUUAAAGCAGUUGAUACUUCUUGAAAAUUGUUAUUACGGAUGAAAUUGAUUACAGGAGACGGGUAUCCAAAGGCGGAUUUUCAUAAACUUCCUUCUUUAACAAAUGUUCCAACGCUUGCUGUAGUAACAAUUUCAUAGCUUGUAUCUCUCGGGUGCAUCAUGUUCACGGGUUGGAAAAAGCAUUUGUGGUAAAGCUUCAAAGCUUGUAAAAUGGCUGUGAAAAGGCACAUUCAAUUCGGUAUGCUUUGGUGCGGUCUCCUAAUGCUAAUAUUAUAUUUUGUAUAGCAAUCUUAAUAUGCAAAAAAUCAUUGUGUCCAAAGUUUUCUAUUUAUUAUAUGGUGACUGAAAUUUUAAUUAUCAUAUCAAUCUUAAAAAUUUUUGUAACCCUAUUUUACUUUGCUUGUACAGAAUACCUGUUUUCGCUGAUAUGUCGAAUUCCCAGAAAUUCAUUUCCAUCGGUUUCCAUUGGUUUUAGCACAAACAGAAACAUAGAGCACUGGGAAAAAGUUUUACUUUUGGUGGUAUUAUGCCUUAUUUUCUUCAUUCAUCAUAUUUGUUUCGAAUUCAUGCUCUCAUUAAGAGAGUAAAGCCUUUUCCAGGCUGCUUUGUAGCCAAAUUUUGAUGCCAUCGAUGCGUGAUUGUCAUUUAGAUUUUCGAAAUAAUUGUCAGAUUGGAGACGAAUCAGAAGAUAUUGUUCAAAGGGUAUUUAAUUAGCACCCUCUGAAUUUAGUUGCCAAUAAUGCAUUGAAAUGGUUGGGGAAAGUUAUUGUCUUAAUUAAAUUACAGGUGAUAAGAUGCUGCUUCAAUUUUGCAAGCAUCUUGUACUGCAAAGAUUCUGCCCACAUGAGAUGCUGUGAUUCUUGACAUCAGGAUAACACAGGUCAAAUUUUAGUAUCAAUAUAUAUCAUCUUCUUUACUGUUCUGCCUCUAAAUAUUAAACUUUAAGCAAGUUGUUUUUGUUUGUGUAAGUUAUCAGGUUAAGGAUACUAAGCCGCUUAUUAAGGCAAAUGUCAGAAUGAAGAUUGUUCACCACACCUGGUAUGCAUGAUGGCCAGUAAGAUUAAUUGUUCACAAGCCAAUUUGAUCAGUGUUAGAUUUUUUGCCUCCUUUCGAGGGUCAUCAUCAUCAAAUUUGAGUAGAGAAUCUUUGAAGGGAAUUUUGUUGUAAGAGUUUCACAGUAGUGAAUUCUGGGAGCUCGAACUCACUUGAGUGAGAUAUUAGGGAGUGUUGGGGAUUUGGGUUAUGAGUAAUCAUUAUCCUUCCAAUAUGUGUAAGCACUCACUUGUUAGUAAAAUCAUCUUCGUAUAUUGACUAUGUUUCUUUGAGUAAUUCAGUUUCAGAUUUUCAGGGCAUGUAUGUUUAAUUAGUUUUGAUUAAAAUAUUUAGUCACUCAUUCUGAAUCUUUUCUAAUUUUCAAGUUCCUUAGGGCCACAACCAGUUUUCAGGGUCUGCAGAAACUAUCUUGAGGGUUGAGGAAUUGCGUUUGAGCACACACAGAAACAAGGCUAAUGGAAAAGAACUUGACAGAAGAAUUAUGCUCUAAAUCUAACAAAAGUAUAUUUCUACUUCUUGUGGUUAUUUUACUUUUGUAUUUUCUGUCAUCAUAUUUGAUUAAUUCAUUCGAAUUCAGACUCUCAUUAUUUAAAACCAUUUUCAGGUGGCUUGCACGCUAAUUAAGUUAACGCAGAAGCAAUACUCUAGACAAAGAUGAGCAAAUUGAAGAUGAUAAAUGCAUAUAUAGUGGCCAAGUCGCUCAUUACAUUUCAUCUCUCAUACGAACAUGAUUCUGAAUUUGAAUUUCCAUCAAUAAUUGUCAGGCUGGUGCAGAUGUUCUUAAAAGGGCAUUAAGCUACCUUAUGAGAUUGGAAAGUUAUCAUUGCUUGAAUGAAAGCACCAUCUUCUGUUGUCAAGGCUUUCCCCCACACGAUGAGAUUCUGUGCUUGUUAUCGGCCGCUUAGUUAUUUAUUAAAUCAGGUUUUUGUUAUCAUGUUCAACAUCUUAUUCACCAUUUUGGCUAUAUAUAAAGAUUAAAAUUUCUAACAGUUGUUUCGGAUUCUUGUGUACUCAGGUUAAUAUGGCAAAUGUCAGAAUGAAGAUUGUUCAGUGCAACCGGUAUAGCAAGGAUGAUAGUGGUGAGGAAGAUUGUUGGCAAGCCAAAUAGAGCCCUCCAUUUUGAGAAAUAUCAUCCUCAAAUUUGAAUUGUUGAGCAUGUGAAGUGAAGCUAAAGCCUUAAUAAUGAGACCUUCCUGUGAAAGUUUCAUUUGAGUGAAUUGAACGUCCUUAGUGGGUGAGAAAUUAAGCAUAUAUCAGCGAUUACUGAAUGUUUUUCUUUAACAUUAGUACACUCUUAUUUCUUAGUAAAAUUCUCUUCACGUCUCUGACUGUGACGUAGACCAAAAGCUGAACAAUGUAAAAUUAUAUUGUUAUUUCCUUAUGCUUGUUUUGCUAUAUAUCAUUUUUGUGCAAUAAAGAAUGUAAUUUUGUAAUUAUUUAACUCUGCUUCUGCGAACAUGCGGUAUUACAAGUGGCAUCUUGCAGAUUUUUUUCCCCUUUUUUUCUUUCUGCAUUAAAACUGCAACAAAUGGAAGUGACUGGCUUGAUUUUAGCUAAUGUAAAAAAGUGCUUGGGGCAAUGUCUUUUGUAUCAGCAAGUCAUCAAACAUCAUAGUUUAAAUAUAGAAUCCUGAGUUGCCGUAUAUUGACAAAGCUAACCGUCUGUGGGCUGAAAUGCUUCCACGGAUCAGGAAGGAAUUUGGGGUUGACACUAAAUGUUAUGCAGAUAACUACAGUUGAUAAUUUUUACCCAAAAUAUGUCACAGUUGACAAUUCACUUACAGUGUUUCCUUGUGUUAUCAGGCUCUCAUAUGUGAAUUGAAAGAUUAAGAAAAAGCAUUUGCACUAAAUUUCAAUUUUAAAGUUCCCAGAUUAAGAAAGAUUGUUUGUUAUGCAAUUGAAGAUUAUGAAAAAGCAUACGCACAGGUAAGUUCUUCUUUAGCUCUGUUUUUCAUUGUUUGUUAUAUCUAUUUUUAAUUCACAUGUCCACAGUAAUUUCAUUUUAGUUUGAGCUGAGUGAUAACUGUUCAAGGCUCACUUACUCAUUGGGAGAAGCUGCAUGACGCAGGCUGCAAGGAUUUAGAUUUUCAUUCGAAGGCUCACUUACUCAUAGUGUGCAUGUUUCGUUACGAUUAAAAUGAUUAGUCUCUUGUUCUUAAGUAUACAAUUUCCAAUGGAUUUGAUAGAGCGGUCAUCAACCAUAUUGAUGUUAUUGGAGUAGCACUGUUCUUAAGCACUGCUUUGAGGUCUCUCCCUCUCUAUAUACAUUGAUAGACUAUUCUGGUCGUACCAAAUUAUCCUUGUUUUAUUGUUUUGUUUGUUAAACUUUGACUGGGGGAAUCUGUUUAUUUGUCUGAUAUGAUGUUAGUGUGGUUUCGAUUGAAGUGUGUUGAUCUAUCACCAAGUAUUAUUUCAAUUUUUCUUUACCUAAUCAACUUGCAUACUUUCCAAGUCUAGAUCCUUAACAAUAGUGAGACUCCGCUACAGAAGUACGAUUUCUCUAGUUUUGUAGUUAAAUACGUAAGAAUAGUUUUAAAUUAACAGAACUCUGAGAUAGUUCUCUGAGGAAAUACAAGUGGUGAAUAUGGUUCCAACUUUUAAGUGCCUUAAGAUUCCCAUUUGUUCAGCCCUGUGCGUAAACAAUCAGUAAUUUCUGUCCAAAUUCUUCUUUAAUGCCUAUAUGUGUUGGACUUUGUCUACUGUUCAACUUCUCAAAUGGAUUCCAUGCAGGGUUUUGAAUGUCCAAUUAGGAGAAAGAUCAAGGCUUGCUUGGCUAGGAGUGGAAGCGGAUCCACUACUUCAGUCAGAUGACCUUUUGAAGAAGGCUUACAACAGGCCGUCUCAGGAUGUCAAUGGCUCAACUCAAAAGUCCCCAAAGUGGUUGAUAUCGAAGAAUGCCGUUGUCUCUGGGCUUGGGCUCCUUGGCAUCAAACAAGGGAAUGUCGACUCUGUUGAAGGGGAAGCAAGGGCUCCUAAAGUGCGAAGAAAGAGGAUAGUCCGGAAGAAGGUGACCGCAUAAAUUUCUUGGGAGUUAAUCCUAGUCAAUAGCCCAAUUUUGCUGCCUGUCGAAGAGGUACAACACGGAAGUCGUCAUCAAACUCUUUUGAGACAUCUAAGAACUAGUAGGGAGGUGGUGGUAUUUCACCGUGUUUCCUGGCAAGUAUAGUUCACUGAUAGAGGGAUUCUUUUCUUGAUGUCUAAAUACUAUAUGUGAUACAACUUCGUAUAUUCCAAUUUUUCUCCAGUUAAAUUCUAGUAAGUUAGAAAAGUUAAUUUUGUUCUAGCGAUGAAUUGUUUUCUUAAUAACAAUAAUUGCCUGUUGCUUUGGAAUCUUAUUCACUCUCUGCAACCCAGUUAAAUUGUGCAAAUUCUACUGCAGAUUUGUCAAACAGAGUGUCUCUGUGAUUGUUUUGAUACACUUUUGAUGGCAAGUUCAAGUUUGAAUCAUCUUGUAAUGCCAAAAAACCAUAGCGCUUUUAAUUACUAGAUCGCACUCGACUUCCUAUUUAGUACUACCGUGUUGCAGUUAUAGUUAUUGUGAAAAAGGAACUGAAACUAUAAUAUAAAUGUUGAUCUAGUGUUGUAUAUAUGAUUUUUAAUUAAUAAUUUUGAUAAAAUUAAUAAAUGUAUCAUUGAUUUUUUUAUACUCCCAACUUAAUUUUUAAGUCACAAUAAUAAAUAUUUAUUAAAUACUUUGAUACUGUAACUUUAAAAUUAUGCUCCGCGGCACUCUUAUCUAAUUUUAAUUGUACUUUCUAGCUCGAUUAUAGAAAUCCUUACUCGAUGUACUUUACCAUACAAGGUGUUACUUUACUUGAUCUUACUCGACUUUAAUUGCAUAUUUUAUAACGAAUUUUUUAUCAAAAAAUUGGUCCCGAUUCCAGCAAAACAGUAACUUCCAUGAUGAUUUUUAAUAUUAUAUUAGUGAUUAUUAAAUUUAAUACAAUCAAUAAUGAAAGAAAUUAUUAAAUGGUUAAUUUUAUUGACAUAUUAUCAAAUACGCAAGUAAUGAAAAAUUAAUCUCAAGAGUUAGUUGAAGUAAAGUUCCAAUUUAAUAGAUAAAUAUAAAUUUUAAGUAAAUCAUAAAUUAAAAAAUUAAUUAAUAUUAAGUAUAAAUAAAUAAUAAUGACAUAAAUUAAAGUCUCAUAAAUGGAUAACUUUUUUUCUUUAAUCUUAUCUCAACUAAAGUAAUGUGUAAAUUAGGAUUCUUAAUCCCAUAAUUUUAGGAAUAAAUUUAAAUUUAGUUCCUAAAUCCAAUUCAAUUAAGCUUACCAAACAUGAGAUAAAUUUUUAAUCACAAAAUUAGUCCAAUUCCAUACUUACUCCCAGUAUCCGAACAUGGCCUGAUAACAUAAUUUAGGUAAUAUACUACUAUGACUCACAAUUUAAAUAAAUUUAAGAAUUUAUAUAGGGGAUGGAAAAUUCACAAUAAUCAUAACAUAUGCUAUCUUUUCUCCCUUUUCUUAAUUAAAUAAAAAAAAAUUAAUGACAGAAUAACUACUGUUUAAAAGGGUCGGCUGCAUGAUUUUUCCAACUAUUGUUUUAUUUUUCUCUUUUCCACUACAAAUUAAUUUGAGAAUGUUACAUUUUCCAAUUCUCUUUUUGUCGUGACAUAAUAGACUAAAACGGAAUCACAUACUUUUUCAAAUGUCCAAAUGGCUUUGGCCUACCUGAUAAUAAAAGGAAUGGAUCCAUACGUUAGUAUGGAUAAAUUGAAAAAUAUAAUAAAUAAAUUGUCAGGAGAUGAUUUUAUCAAAAAUUUCACUCGCACGGUCCCGACCAAAAUCGACUGUAUUAUAUGUGAACUCGCAAGAUUCAUAGAUAGAUUGCACUGAGCUUUUUGUUGCAGUUUACAAAUAUUUUGUUACUAAUUAUCUCAAGAGCAGCAUGUAACUAAAUACAAAUGUAAGGAAUUUUACAAGUGCUGAUGCUGUGUACUCUGAAGAAUUAACAAUGAAUUAUUAUGAAUAAGAGAAACAGAGGGCAGAUGCUGUGCAAUUAUUGAGGUGGUGGAUCAGAAAGCUAGCCCCAGAUGGUGACUCCUUUAAUUUGCAGCACGAAAGAACGUUCACAUUGACAUUGACUCAAGGGUAAAAAUUAAAUAUUUCAUAUGGUAUAAGAAGAAUGCAAACAUGCUUGAAUGAACAUUCUCACAGAAUACAUAAAACCUACUUUCCUCUGAGCAUUUUAGCAGCAAGAAAAGCAAUUGCUGCAUUUACCAUUUGAUCUAAUAUCAGAAUGGCUCAUGCGAUCGUUUCCUCUCUCUUGGACCAGCUGAAAUCCAUUGCUCAAGAUCAGGUGAAAGAAAAGUGGAGGCUUGUGACGGGUGUCGAACAAGAAGUGGGAAAGCUUACUACCAAUCUUCAAGCCAUUCAAGCUGUACUGGAAGAUGCAGAGCAGAGGCAAAUGAAGCAGGACAAAGCUGUUACUCUUUGGCUGGAUCAGCUCAGAGACGCAUCCUACGACAUUGAAGAUGUGUUGGAAGAGUGGAUCACUGAAACAAGGAAAUUGCAGCUUGAUGAGGGCGGCGAUGAUGACGAUGCUCUUGCUCUUGCUCCUCCUAAGAAGAAGGUAUGUUCCUUCUUUCGUGCUGCCUCAAACUACUUAGGUGGUUUCAAACAACUCAUUCUUCGUGAUGAUGUUGCUGUCAAGAUUAGCGAAAUCAGUGAAAAGCUAGAUGGUGUUGCCACUCGAAAAGAUAUGUUUAAAUUUGUUGAGAAUGUGAGUAACAAUGUUAAGAAACCAGAGCGAGUGCGAACCACCUCCUUGAUUGAUGAGGGAGAGGUUUUUGGUAGAGAUGACGAGAAAAAUGAGCUGUUAGGUAAGUUGUUGGGUGAGAGUGGCGAACAACAUCCUCAUAUCAUCUCACUGGUUGGGUUAGGGGGUAUAGGUAAAACCACUCUUGCACAACUAGCCUAUAAUAAUGAUGAGGUUAAAAGAAAUUUUGAAAAAGUUAUAUGGGUGUGUGUAUCAGACACUUUUGAUGAGAUGAGGGUUGCUAAAGCAAUCAUUGAAGGUCUAGGCGAGUCAACUUCUGGUUUAAGCGAAUUCCAAUCUCUUAUGAGCCAUAUCCAUAGAUCAAUUGAAGGAAAAAAUUUUUUUAUUGUCUUAGAUGAUGUAUGGGAUGGGAAUUAUAAUAUAUGGGAUCAAUUCUUCUUUUGUCUAAAGAAUGGUCUUCCCGGAAGUAAAAUUGUGGUUACCACACGUAAUGAGUCAGUUGCACGUAUGAUGCGAACAAUAGAGUUAGAUAUUAUCUCCAUUGAACAACUAGCUGAAGAGGAAUGCUGGUUGUUGUUCAAGCGGUUGGCAUUUUUCGGUCGCUCUUUCAAGGAUUGUGAAAAAUUAGAACUAAUCGGGCGAAAAAUUGCACGCAAGUGCAAAGGCCUGCCUCUUGCCGCAAAAGUAAUAGGGAAUCUCUUGCGCUCUAAACGUACAGUAAAAGAGUGGCAAAGAAUUUUAGAGAGUGAAAUGUGGAAGGUAGAAGAUAUUACGAAAGGUCUUUUGGCUCCUUUGUUGUUGAGUAUAAUGAUUUGUCCGCUAGUUCUAUGGUAAAACAGUGUUUCUCAUAUUGUGCUGUCUUUCCAAAAGACUACAAGAUGGAUAAAGAGGAAUUGAUUGAUCUCUGGAUGGCUCAAGGUUACCUUAAUGCAGAAGAAGACGAAGAAAUAGAGAUGAUUGGAGAAGAGUAUUUCAACAUCUUAGCAACACGCUCUUUCUUUCAAGAGUUUGAAAUAUAUGGUGCCGAUGGUGAAUAUGUGAAGUGUAAGAUGCAUGACAUAGUACAUGAUUUUGCUCAAUUUGUGAGUAGCAAAGAAUGUUUGUGGCUAGAAAUUAGCGGUACCAAAGAAUCAGUCAUAAACUCUUUUGGUGACAAAGUCCGUCACUUAGGGUUAAAGCUUAAAAGAGGCGCUUCAUUUCCUAUGUCCAUUCAUGGACUUAAUAGAUUGCGUACCCUCCUAAUUAGUGAUGAAUUUUAUAAUCUGUCCCUUAGUAGUAGCAACCUUGCAGAGUUAUUUAGUAAAUUGGCAUGUUUAAGGGCAUUAGUUAUAAAGCAAUUUUACCCAAAUAGGAUUAGAGAAAUUCCAGAAAAUGUCGGAAAAUUGAUACAUUUAAAAUUCCUUAAUUUGUCUAGACUAGCUAUAGAGAGACUACCUGAGACUUUGUGUGAAUUAUAUAAUUUACAAAAGCUAGAUAUUAGGCGGUACGAAUAUCUUAGAGAAUUGCCUGCGGGGAUUGGGAAGUUAAAGAACAUUAGGAGUUUACUAAAUGCUAGAACUCCGUUAAAGCAUAUGCCAAUAGGGAUUGCCAGGUUAACCAGUCUUCGAACAUUGGACAGGUUUGUUGUGGGAGGAGAUGUUGAUGGUAGCAGUACAUCUAGGCUUGAAUCUCUGAAAAAUCUUCAACUCCUUCGAGAUUAUGUAAUAGAUGAGCUGAGUAGUGUGUCACAUUUAGAUGAGGCUGAGAGAUUAGAACUCCACAAUAUGGAAAACCUCCUUCGUUUGUGUCUUGUGUUUGAUGGGGGAGAUGAAGAUUGGGAAGAUGAAGAAGAAGAAGACGCAGAAGUUGUAGAGGGGUUAGAUGAAGAAGGGAGGAGGAAGAAUGAGAAACUUCUUGAAGCCUUACAACCGCCUUUGAAUGUAGAGGAAUUACGGAUUGUAUCCUACGGAGGCAACAUUUUUCCCAAAUGGUUGACUUCGCUAACCAAUCUAAGGGAACUAAAACUUCUCUUGUGUUUUAACUGUGAGCGUUUGCCUCCUUUGGGAAAAUUACCUCUGGAAAAACUCCAACUAAAGAACUUGAAAAGUGUAAAAAGAGUGGGUAAUGAGUUUUUGGGAAUAGAAGAAAGCAGUGAGGAUGGCCCAUCUUCAUCUUCAUCGUCACCAUCAGUUUUUGCCUUCCCCAAAUUGAAAUCACUCGAAAUUCACGGAAUGGAAGAAUUGGAAGAGUGGAAUUACAGGAUUACGAUGAAGGAAAACAUCUCCAUCAUGCCCCGUCUUUCUUUCUUGGAAGUUAGUUCUUGCAACAAAUUAAAGGCGCUGCCGGAUUACCUUCUUCAAACGACGGCACUGCAGGAACUGAGUAUUUGUUCUUGUGAUCUUCUAGAAGAACUGCCCAUUCUAGAAGAUCGCAGGACAACAGACAUACCACGUCUUACUUCUUUGUGGAUUUCUGAUUGCCCCAAUUUAAAGGUGCUGCCGGAUUACCUUCUUCAAACACUGCAGCUAUUGAUAAUUUUGGGCUGUGACCUUCUAGAAGAACAUUAUAGAGAGGGGAAAGGAGAAGACUUGCAGAAGAUAUCUCACAUUCCCCACAUCAAGUGGUCACCGUAAGAUAUCACUCGCCGGUAAUUUCUCCUCCUCCUCUGAUUUACUUCGUUGUUGCUUGCAAUGAAAUUAAUAAAAAUAAUUAUAUUUUAAAUUAAAAUUCUAUAUAUUGCCAAUGUCUGACAAGAAUAUAUAAUAUUUUUCUAAUAUUUUGAUUUGCAUAUUGAAUUUUGUUUACUUUAACCAUUAAUUUAAUGGGUCACUUUAUGAUGCUGUUAUAAAAAUUAUAGAAUCAAUCAUGGUAUAUAUAUUUUAAUUUAAGUUAUUUAAAAUUUAAACUUCCUAGUUAUCAAAUUUAAACUUCCUUAACAUCAUGCAAAAAUAAUCAUCAUGUCUUUUAGCCGAAGGAUUGCUAAAAUGUUCUGCUGGUAAUUCACUUGCUUUAUUUUAUAGAAUUUCAUUUCCAUCUUCUUCUAUUGAUAUCUUGUUGUGAAUAAACAAGAACAGAGAAGUAAAUAAUUGAACCACAGAGAAGUAAAGAUAUAUGAAAGUUCGCUAUUGUGAUGGUGUUAAAGCAAGCUCAAGCUCAAGCAUUGCAUUUUUAUUUUAUUUUAUUUUUAGAAUUUUCAUUUCCACCUGCACUGCAUUUUCAUUUCAUUUUUAGGUUGACUUUGAAGACUCUAUGGAGAACAUUAGGGUAACCAAGGAUUAUCACUAUGGUUAUUGUGCAACGUUUGGUUGCUGGACUUUGAAGAAGGAAGCGAUGGCCGGGUCCGCUCUGUUUCAAUUGAGGAUGGACAGCUGCCUGAAAGACAUGAUGAUUAUUUUUGCAUGAUGUUAAGGUGCUAAGAUCAUCAUUUAUAUCUUGUUUCAUUCUUGGAAUCAUUUAUCCUAUAUAAACAUAUUGAAUUGUGCUAAUAUUAUCAUAUGCUUCAAUGGAGGCAGGAAUUUGGUGUUGACACUACUAUGCAGGUAGCCACACUUCAUAGUUGGCACAAAUUUGCGUUGUCAGAAUAUCCUUUAAUAUUCAUUGUGUUUCUUUGCGUUAUCAGGUUAUCAUCUCCAAGGGUUUGAAAGAGUCUUUGCAGUAAAGGCAGUUGUCACCAGCUCGUGCAAUUGCACAGUCAUUCAGAGUACUUCAAUAUUGGGUUUUCAAGUUUUGUAUGUUUAGUCGAUUAAAAUGUUUAGUCACUCAUUCUUAAUCCUUUUUUCUGAUUUUCAAGUUCUUUAGGGCCAUAAACAGUUUUUCAAACUCAUUAUUAUUUUUUAGGUUGAUUUCCUACUCGUGGAGAACAUUGGCAAGUCCAAGGAUUAGGCUGGCGAUGGAACUACUACCUCUGUUGUUAUUGUGCAAGGUUUGAUCGCUGGACCUUGAACAAGAAUGCCUUACACACAUUCUGUAAUUGAAGCGUUCUCUAAAGCAAAAGAGCAGUAGAAGGAAUAGUGAUGGCCGGAUCUGCUCUUUCUUAAUUGAAGAUGUCUGUGAUGUUGAGGAGCUUAAAGCAGUUAAUGCUCUUUGAAAAUUGUUAUUACAGAUGAAUUGAUUCCUGAAGACGAGUAUCUAAUGAUUGUUAAGGCGUAUUUUCAUGAACUUCCUUUCUUAACAAAUGUUUCAAUGCUGGCUGUAGUAACAAUUUCAUAUCUUGCAUCUCCCGGGUGCAUCAUGUUCACGGGUUUGAAAAAGCAUUUGUGGUAAUGCUUCAAAGCUUGUACAAUGUCUCCCAAUGCUAAUAUCAUAUUUUGUAUGGCAAUUAAAAUUUAGCUAUACAAUCUUAAUAUGCAAUAAAUCAUUGUAUACAAAGUUUUCUAUUGAUUAUAUGGUGACUGAAAUUAGAUUGGAGAAGAAUAAAAAGAUACUGUUAAAAGGUUAUUUAAUUAGCGCCCUCUGAAUUUCUUGGAGUUAAUGUAGUCAAUUGCCCAAUUUUGCUGCCUGUGGAAGAUACACAGUAUGGAGUCCUCAUCAAACUCUGAGACACCUAAUAAAUAGUAGGAGGGGUUGGUAUUCGCCUGGUGUUAAUUUCCUGGCAAGUAUAGUUCACAGAUAAAGGGGUUCUUUUCUUGAUGUCUAAAUACCGUAUGUGAUACAACAUCGUGUAUUCCAAUUUUUCUCCAGUUAAAUUUUAAUAAGUUAGGAAAGUUAAUUUUGUUUUAGCAAUGAAUUGUUUUCUUAAUAAUAAUUGCCAUGUUCCUCUGAAGUCUUAUUAAUGCCAAACCAACAACUACUAGGUUCAUCUCUCGUUCACUUCCUCAGGGAUUCUCGAGGGCAUUCUUUGGCAGGUAGUCUUUCUUGUUGAGCUCCUGGAAUUACUUUUAAUUUAUCAUCUGUUGGGUUUUGCUUUUUGAUUGCUUUGUGAUUUGUGUUUUUAUCGCUUUGUCGCUCAUUAAUCUUGGCUGUUUUGAAUCUGUGUUGGAUUUAGACGUUUGGAGUUGAAAACAGUUAAAGCUUAGACUAGUAGAAGAGAUUUAUACAUUCAUUUAUCUUGGACAAAGUUUUUGGGGGAAAAGAAAAAUUAUAAGUAUACACUUUCCAAUGGUUCGGUGAUGUUUGAUUGGUUUAAAGAUGUUGGAUCUCUCAUCAGAUUUCUUAUGUAUCGACUGCUGUUGCCACAGGAUGCUCGCAGAUCCUGCUUUUUUGUAUAAACUUCUACCAGAGCAGGCUGCCACAAUUGGUUGCACUGUUUUGUGGGAGUUGGAGAAUCACAAGGAGAGGUGUUUUUUCUCUCAUAACAAAGGAACUCUCCCCUUCCUUUUUAUUCUCAUUUUAUAUAUUAAGCUAAUAAAUGUUUGUUUCUGUUGUGAUGGGAUAAAGCAAGAAUGGGAUCUUUGCCCUAAUAAAUGUGCUCACAGUAACAGCAUGUAAUGCUUUUGUUGUUUGGUCGCUUGCUCCUUGUCAUUCUUAUGGAAACACCUUCCGGUUUGACUUGCAAAUUACAUUACAAAAGCUCCCAAACAAUAUAUUUGAACGGCGGUACCCAUUUCGAGAAUUUGACUUGCAAAAGAGAAUCCACUCCCUUUUUUACAAGGCUGCAGAGUUGUGUAUGGUGGGAUUAAGUGCAGGAGAAGUGCAAGGUUCUUUGUCAAACUAUCUUGCUGGUAAAAAGGACAGGUAAACAUGGUUGCAAAACUUCCUUUUCAUUCCUCGUUCACUUAUUCGUUAUAAAUAAAGAAAACUUAGAAGAUUGUUCUGUUUACUGUCUAAGCCAGUUUAACAUUUAUUAAAUUACCCUUGUAAAAGAGAAUCCACUCCCUUUAAUGUCUGACAGGUUAUCUGUGACAAACAUGAGAUAUCAGCUAUUGUGUGGAUUUGAUAGAGCGGUCAUCAACCAUUUUGAUGUUAUUGGAGUAGUACUGUUCUUAAGCACUGCUUUGAGGUCUCUCCCUCUAUCUCUUUUACGCAUUUGUUUAUUGAUCUACAUCUCUAUAUACAUUGAUAGACUAAUCUGGUCGUACCAAAUUACCCUUGUUUUAAUGUUUUGUUUGUUAAACUUUGACUGGGGAAUCUGUUUAUUUGUCUGAUAUGAUGUUAGUGUGGUUUCUAUUGAAGUGUGUAGAUCUAUCACCGAGUAUUAUUUCAAUUUUUCUUUGCUUAAUCAACUUGCAUCCUUUCCAAGUCCAGAUCCUUAACAAUAGCGAGACUUCGCUACGGAAGUACAAUUUCUCUAGUUUUACAGUUAAAUACGUAAGGAUGGUUUUAAAUUAACUGAACUCUGAGGUAGUUUUCUAAGGAAAUACAAGCGGUGAAUAUGGUUCCAAGUUUUAAGUGCCUUAAUUAACCCAUUUGUUCAGCCCUGUGCGUAAACAAUCAGUAAUCGCUGUCCAAAUUCUUCUUUACUGCCUAUAUGUGUUGGACUUUGUCUAUUGUUCAACUUCUCAAAUGGAUUCCAUGCAGGGUUCUUAAUGUCCAAUUAGGAGAAAGAUCAAGGCUUGCUUGGCAAGGAGUGGAAGUGGAUCCGCUACUUCAGUCAGAUGACCUUUUCAAGAAGGCUUACAACAGGCCAUCUCAGGAUGUCAAUGGCUCAACUCAAAAGUCCCCAAGGUGGUUGAUAUCAAAGAAUGCCAUUGUCUCUGGGCUUCGGCUCCUUGGCAUCAAACAAGGGAAUGUCGACUCUGUUGAAAUGGAAGCAAGGGCUCCUAAAGUGCGAAGAAAGAGGAUAGCCCGGAAGAAGGUGACCGCAUAAAUUUCUUGGGAGUUAAUCCUAGUCAAUAGCCCAAUUUUGCUGCCUGUCGAAGAGAUACAACACGGAAAUCCUCAUCAAACUCUUUGAGACAUCUAAGAACUUGUAGGGAGGUGGUGGUAUUCACCUUGUUUCCUGGCAAGAAAUUUAUGGAACUUAUCUUCUAAAAACCAGCCAUGGCUUCAAAUUCAAUCACCUCAACACUCCAAUAUUGGCUUGUAAACCACCCACAAAUCCUCAACUUCACAUGGACACAAAACCAAACCCCAGCUUCCUCCCCACACUUCCUCAUUCUCUCCAUCCUCACUUACCUCUCCCUCACAUUCAUCCUCUACCACACAUCAACAUCAACAUCACCACCAUCAUCACCUUUCAUUGGACCCCACAUCCUCAAGCCCAUCACAGCCGUCCAUAACCUCACCCUCCUCCUCCUCUCCCUCAUCAUGGCCGUUAGUUGCACUCUCUCCAUCAUCGUCCAUUUGCCCCACCUCCAUUACACCCUCUGUUUCCCCCCCACCAUUUCUCCGUCUGGCCCCCUCUUCUUCUACGCUUACCUCUUCUACCUCUCCAAAAUACUCGAAUUCGUAGACACCCUUUUGAUCAUUUUGUCAAACUCCGUCCAACGGCUCACGUUCCUCCACGUCUAACACCAUGCAACCGUCGUCGUAAUGUGCUACCUUUGGUUACAGACGAAGCAGUCUUUGUUUCCUAUUUCACUUGUGACCAAUGCAAGUGUGCAUGUGAUCAUGUACGGGUACUAUCUAUUGUGUGUGAUGGGGUUGAGGCCAAAGUGGAAGAGAUUGGUCACUGAUUGUCAGAUUGUUCAGUUUGUGUUUAGUUUUGUUGUUUCGGUUUUGAUGCUGUAUUAUCAUUUUACGGGAUUUGGUUGCUCUGGGAUUUUGGGUUGGUGCUUCAAUGCUGUGUUUAAUGCUUCUCUUUUGACACUUUUUGUUAAUUUUCAUUCCAAGAGCUACGCUAAAAAAAAGCAGGGAUGAUCAGAACAAAUAGUUUUUGUGAUUGUUUUGUGCGUGCGUGUGUGUGUGUGAUUUUUUUUUUCAAGUUUGAUUUUGUUUAAUUAUGAAGGGUUGUGAUCUGUUCAUUGCAAUUGACAGAGAUGUUUUCAGUUGCCUAGACUUCGUAUUUUCAGUUUUAGUAAUAAAUGUCGUUUUUCACCACAUUUGUUUAGUCUCUCGCUUUUAAAUCCCCUCUCACACACAAAAAAAAUUGGAUUUGUAUCUUGUAAACAAAUAUUUUUCAUUUUGUUAAUGUAUUAAUUAUUGUUAUCUACAUUUAUGUGAUAGGGCACAUGCCACAUCGACUAAAAUUAAGUUAUGAAAUUUUGCAGCCCCUGAGCACUCAAUGUUUGUAGGCACAAGUUCAAGUCCCACCAUUUGUUAGGAUUUAAAUAAAGAACAUUAUAACCAUGCGUCCAAGAACUUAAAGAUAGCUUAAGUGCAUGGAUUCGAGUCCUAGUUAUUGUUGGAAUUCGAUUUCCUUUCUAAUUAAAUUGGGUAAGGGUAAAAUUAUCUCUCAAUUAAUAAGGACAGAGUAGAUAUUUCUCUCGAUUUUCCUCCCAAUUAAAUUAGUUAGAAGUAAAAUUAUCUCUCAAUUAAUAACAGUAGAAUAAAUAUCUCUCUAGUAUUAUGCAAGGGUAGAAAUUUGGGCUGUACCAUGUUAGAAUUAUCAAGGAUAGUUUUGGUAGAAUUCUAAUUGUAAUAUAUGAGUGUAUAAAAAAAAUGAACAUCAAUGAAAGAUUUUAGGCAAGAACUAUCUUGGAAUAGAAUUUUGAUUGUAAUAUAUCAGUAUAUAAAAAAAUUUUAUGAAAAAUGUUUAACAAGGACUAUUUUGAUAUUUUAAUGAAUAGUAAAAAUUAAUGUUAAAAUUUGAUAGACGAGUGUAUAGUAAGAUGUGCAAAGUAUUAGAACAUAUAUAAAUAAUCCUAGCUCUAAUAAAAUUUUGCUACAAAAUUAGUUUAUCCCUUAAAGAAACAUAUCAAAAAAAUAUACAAAAACACAAUGCAUGAGUACAUGUCAAUCACAAAUGAAAGCAAUUAAGAUAAAGGAUAUGAUUUAUUUUAUUUUAUUUUAGUUAUUUUUUUAAUUAUUUUUUGUUUCUUUUGAAACAAGACCAAUUAGAUCAUGCAAGAAGUAAUUUUUUUUUUAAAUAAAAAAGGAGAAAUGAUGAAACCCACGUCCAAAGAUGCCGUUGUCGCGGAGGCCUAGAUCUCACUACACCCCAUCCCCUUCUACCAUAUUUUAUAAUUGAAGAGGCCAUUAUUGAAUUGAAAAAUUAUGAUUCAAAAACCCAAAAAUAGAAAAAGAAAAGCAAUUGUUGGAAACACACUCGGAGUUUUAAAUUGACAUGAGAAAAGAAUAUAUUCAUCAACCUCAUACGUUAAAGAUGCGACGAGUUUGAGAUUAUGAGCCAAAUUCCUAACGUGUGGGAAUUUAAAGAUGUUACUACAAAACAUGUGUUCGUCGGUGGAGUAGAAUCAGGGAAAUUAAAGAUGCUACUACAACCACUAACGUGUGGGUGGGGAUAAGCAUAACUUUUUUCAUCAAAUGCCAAAUCCCCCCAGGUGGAGAGUGGGGACUCCUUCGCAUAAAUGUUGAUAAAAUUUUGAUUAUGAUGUUAUUAGAAAUUAGGAAAAACCUGUGGUGCAACUGUGGUACCGUGUUAUAGUUGCAUCCAGCCGUUGGAUACUAGUGGACCCUAUUGUUAACAUAUAUGUUUCCAUAAUAUUGAUUUUGAUGAUAACAAACAAAAUUAAGAAUGAUUAAUCUUUUAAGCUCAAAUUAUUUAAUAUUCUUUUUAAAUAAAUCAUUAUUUUCACAUUAUAAAUGUUUUAUAUUUAAUGGAAAAAUGAUUUUAUGAAAUUGAUUGUUUUUAUUCUCUUUAAAUAAAUCAUUAUUUUUACAUUAUAAAUGUUUUAUAUUUAAUGGAAAAAUGAUUUUAUGAAAUUGAUUGUUUUUAUUCUUUUUAAAUAAAUCAUUAUUUUCACAUUAUAAAUGUUUCAUAUUUAAUGGAAAAAUAAUUUUAUGAAAUUGGUUGUUUUUCAAAGUUUAUGGUUUAAUUAAAAGAAUUUUGAAAACUUUGAAAUAAAUGCUUGAAAUUUUGGAGGACUUAUUUGAAAAGUGUCAUAGCAUUUUUAGCUAUAUCAUAAUUUCAGAAAGUUUUGGGAUUAGCAAAGCAUUACUUAUAAAUUCUAAAAUUGGACCUAUUUAAAAAGUUUUAUAACUUUUUGGGCCGUAAUAUAGUUUUGUAAAGUUUUGGGGUCAAACUGUAAUUUCAGAAAAUAAUGCACUAUGCAGGUUACUGUAGCAUCCGGCUUACCGGAUAUAAAAAACUAGAAAACCGGAUACGGGGCAGUAAGCAUCCGGAACGCAAACGGCUUAUCGGAUUUCGUAACCGGCAAGCCGGUUAGGCAAAAUUCAAAUUUUUGCCUUAGUGGUAACAUAAAUCCAGCUUACCGGAUUCCUUAAACGGCAAACCAGAUACGCUCAGAAUGUGUAUAAUGGGUAGUUUUUGAGUUCAAACUAUAUAAACUCAAAAUCAAUUCAUUUUUGGUAAUACAAGAAAGCAAGAACAAGUGCACACAACAUAUAUUGAGCUUCAAUUUCGUGAAUCAUCAUUCAUUAAAUCAUCUUUGUUCUUAAAUUUGUAUAUCCACUCUUAAAGAGAGUUUGAUUGUUGUAUUUUUCAUUUCUCAUUAAAUUGUGAGAGUACAAGUGUGAGAAACACUUGGAGUGAAGAGAUUGGAGAGAUAAUCUCUUGUUGUAGAGGUUCAUUGACACCUUAAAGUCAAUUGUAAACAUUUGAAGCCUUGGAAAGGCUUGGAUAGUGAAAUCCUCAAGCCCGGUGUGGUUGGAGGCGUGGACGUAGGCGGGGAUUGCCGAACCACGUAAAAAUCCUUGAGUUUGCUUUCUCUUCCCUUACUCAUUUAUUAUUGUGCUUUCAUUGAAUUUAUUGUUUUCGAAUUUAUUAAGGCAUUAGAUUGGAUUUGUGUGGUUUGCUUUACUUAAUUUUUAAAAUUCUAAUUCACCCCCCUUCUUGGAUUGCCUAGUUAGUAUUUCACAUAUCCAUGCAAGUGUAUCCAACAACUGGAUGCAACUAUGGUAAGGUACCACAGUUGCACCGUAGCCGGACCCUAGAAAUUAAGAUAUUAUCUCUCUACAUAUUUUUGCACGAAAUAAUAUGCAAAUAUAAUAUUUUAGUUUAUUAUUAAUAGUUUUACAAUAAUAAAAAUCAUUUUGAUAGACUGGAAAAUGUCGUAUUCGCACUUUAUUUUGUACGAACGUCUGCGAGAAAGAAUAUAUCUAUAUAUAUAUAUUGGAACAUGUAUUUAAGAUUUAGCUAGUGUGAAGUUGGGAAAGUUUUUUUUUUUUUUAACCCAGGCUAAAAAUAUUUCAAUAAAUUUUGAUCAUGGAGACUAAUAAGAUUUUUUUGGUUAUAUUUAUUAAUUUUUUAGGGACUGACAUGAAUAUUAAUAUUUUUAUUGAGAUUAUUAAAAAAAUGUGCUAUUUUACAUCUAUGACUUUUCCAAUCUUUUUUUCUUUCGUUAUUUAUUCCUUUGUGAAUUUUAGUUAAUGCUUGAUAUUAUUUGUUUGCUCAUUUUUUAAAGCAGUAAUUAAAUCUGAACCCUUACAGUAGAAGAUUAUGAAAAAGUAAAGACACAAAAAUCAUAAAAAUCAUUGUAGGUCCAAAUUUGUGCUAUUUUCAUACAUAAUUUGAGAAUAUUUAUAAUUACGCAUCACAACUAGUGGAGUAGAAUCAGGGAAAUUAAACAUUCUACAAUCAUUGACGUGUGGGUUGGGGAUAAGCAUAAACCUUUUCUAUGCAGUAUAAAAGAAUGCAAUAACUCCUUUUCUUUCAGCAUUUUCGCAACAAAAGCACAUCUAAUAACUCUUCAGAAUUCUCGUCUUCUUUGUCAGAAUGGUUGAUGCGAUCGUUUCCUCUCUCCUGGUGCAGCUGAGCUCUGUUGCGGCUGAUGAAGUGAAACAACAGGUGAGGCUUGUGACUGGUGUCGAGGAAGAAGUGAAAAAGCUCACCCGCAAUCUUCGAGCCAUUCGAGCUGUGCUGGAAGAUGCAGAGAAAAGGCAAAUGCAGCGCGACAAUGCUGUUACUUUUUGGCUGGAUCAGCUCAAAGACGCAUCUUAUGACAUGGAAGACGUGUUGGAGGAGUGGACCACUGCAAGGCUCAAAUUGCAGAUUGAGGGCGUUGAUGAUGACAAUGCUCUUGCUCUUGCUCCUUAUAAGAAGAAGGUACGUUCCUUCUUUUGUGCUCUAUCAAACUGCUUUGGUAGUUUCAAAAAACUCAGUCUUCGUCAUGACAUUGCCGUCAAGAUUAGGGAAAUCAAUGGAAAGCUAGAUGAUAUUGCCUCCCAAAAAGAUAGGUUUAAAUUUGUUGAGAAUGUGAGCAACAAUGUUAAGAAACCAGAGCGAGUGCGAGCCAUCCCCUUGAUUGAUGAGAGAGAGGUUUGUGGUAGAGUUGAUGAGAAAAAUGAUCUCUUAAGCAAGCUGCUGUGUGAAAGUAGUGAACAACAAGAAGGCCUUCAUGUCAUCUCACUAGUUGGGUUAGGGGGUAUAGGUAAAACCACUCUAGCACAACUGGCCUAUAAUAAUGAUGAGGUGAAAAGAAAUUUUGAAAAAGUUAUAUGGGUGUGUGUAUCAGACACUUUUGAGGAGAUUAGGGUCGCCAAAGCAAUCAUUGAAGGUCUAGGCGUGUCAGCUUCUGGUUUAAGUGAAUUCGAAUCUCUUAUGAAACAGAUUCAGGAAUAUAUUACGGGGAAGAAAUUUUUUCUUGUUUUAGAUGAUGUGUGGGAUGGAGAUUACAAAAAAUGGGACCCAUUCUUUUCUUGUCUAAAGAAUGGCCACCAUGAAAGUAAAAUUCUAAUUACCACACGUGAUAGGUCAGUUGCACUACAGUUGGGAUCAAUAGAUAUUAUCCCUGUCAAGGAGUUGGGAGAAGGGGAAUGUUGGUUACUGUUUAAGCAGAUGGCAUUUCUACGUAGGUCCUUUGAGGAUCGUGAAAAAUUAGAACCAAUCGGGCGAAAAAUUGCACACAAGUGCAAAGGCUUGCCUCUUGCUGCAAAGGUAAUAGGGAAUCUUUUGCGCUCUAAAAGUACAGUAAAAGAGUGGCAAAGAAUUUUAGAGAGUGAAAUGUGGAAAGUAGAAGCAAUUGGGCAAGGUCUUUUAGCUCCUUUGUUGUUGAGUUAUAAUGAUUUGCCCUCCAAUUCUAUGGUAAAACAAUGUUUCUCAUAUUGUGCUGUCUUUCCAAAAAACUACAAUAUGAAUAAAGAGGAACUAAUUUCACUAUGGAUGGCUCAAGGUUAUCUUAAUACAGAAGAAGACGAAGAGAUGGAGAUGAUUGGGGAAGAGUAUUUCAACAUUUUAGCAGCACGCUCUUUCUUUCAAGAGUUUAAAAAAGAUGAUGAUGAUGAUAUUAUGAGCUGCAAGAUGCAUGACAUAGUACAUGAUUUUGCCCAAUUUGUAAGUAGAAAAGAAUGUUUGUGGGUAGAAAUUAAUGGUACCAAAGACUCAGUCAUAAACUCUUUUGGUGACAAAGUCCGUCACUUAGGGUUAAAUUUUCAAAGAGGCAUUUCAUUUCCUAUGUCCAUUCGUGGACUUAAUAGAUUGCGUACCCUUUUAAUUUAUGAUAGAAGUGAUUUCAAUCUGUCUCUUAGUAGCAUCCUUUUGUCUUUUAGUAGUAGCAAAGAAUGUUUAAGGGCAUUAGUUAUAAGGCUGUUGCGCCUAUGUUUUUGUCCAAACACAUAUAAGAUUAGAGAAACUCGAAAGUUAUUUAGUAAAUUGGCCUGUUUGAGGGCAUUAGUUAUAAGGGAAUCAUUAGUUAUAAGGCUUUCAUCCACGCCUGUUCGUCUUCACUCAAGUUUGAUUAGAGAAAUUCCAAAAAAUGUCGGAAAAUUGAUACAUUUAAGAUAUCUUAAUUUGUCUGAAUUAGGCAUAGAGAGACUACCUAAGACUUUGUGUGAAUUAUAUAAUUUACAAAAGCUAGAUAUUAGGCGGUGCCGAAAUCUUAAAGAAUUGCCAGCGGGGAUUGGGAAGUUAAAGAACAUGAGGAGUUUACUGAAUGGUGAAACUGAUUCGUUGAAAUACAUGCCAGUAGGGAUUUCCAAAUUAACCAGUCUUCGAACAUUAGACAAGUUUGUGGUGGGUGGAGGUGUUGAUGGUAGCAAUACGUGUAGGCUUGAAUCUCUGAAAAAUCUUCAACUCCUUCGAGAAUGUGGAAUAGAAGGGCUGGGUAAUGUGUUAUAUUUAGAUGAGGUCGAGAGAUUACAACUUUACAAUCAGCAAAACCUCCUUCGUUUGCGUCUUGAGUUUGGUAGAGUCGUAGAUGGGGAAGAUGAAGAAAGGAGGAGGAAGAAAGAGAAAGAUGAACAACUUCUUAAAGCCUUACAACUGCCUUUGAGUGUAGAGAAAUUAGGGAUUAUAUUAU
rnacentral:lncRNA from 1 species